GACGAACGCUGGCGGCGUGCCUAAUACAUGCAAGUAGAACGCAGUUGCGAACGGGUGAGUAACGCGUAGGUAAAUGCCUCAUAGCGGGGGAUAACUAUUGGAAACGAGAACUAAUACAGCAUACUGUGAGCUGGACCUUCUUUGUAUUAACUAGUUGGUGAGGUAAAUGCUCACCAAGGCGACGAUAAAGAGCCGACCUGAGAGGGUGAUCGGCCACACUGGGACUGAGAACCGGCCCAGACUCCUACGGGAGGCAGCAGUAGGGAAUCUUCGGCAAUGGACGGAAGUCUGACCGAGCAACGCCGCGUGAGUGAAGAAGGUUUUCGGAUCGUAAAGCUCUGUUGUUAGAGAAGCGUUAACUAACCAGAAAGGGACGGCUAACUACGUGCCAGCAGCCGCGGUAAUAC
rnacentral:rRNA from 1 species